rnacentral:rRNA from 1 species
UACGAGGGGGGCAAGCGUUGCUCGGAAUCACUGGGCGUAAAGGGUGCGUAGGCGGGUCUUUAAGUCAGGGGUGAAAUCCUGGAGCUCAACUCCAGAACUGCCUUUGAUACUGAGGAUCUUGAGUUCGGGAGAGGUGAGUGGAACUGCGAGUGUAGAGGUGAAAUUCGUAGAUAUUCGCAAGAACACCAGUGGCGAAGGCGGCUCACUGGCCCGAUACUGACGCUGAGGCACGAAAGCGUGGGGAGCAAACAGG